rnacentral:rRNA from 1 species
UACAGAGGUCCCGAGCGUUGUUCGGAUUCACUGGGCGUAAAGGGUGCGUAGGUGGUGAGGUAAGUCGGAUGUGAAAUCUCCAAGCUCAACUUGGAAAUGGCAUUGGAAACUACCUUGCUGGAGGUUUGGAGGGGGGACUGGAAUUCUCGGUGUAGCAGUGAAAUGCGUAGAUAUCGAGAGGAACACCAGUGGCGAAGGCGAGUCCCUGGACAAAACCUGACACUGAGGCGCGAUAGCGUGGGGAGCAAACAGG